UAUGAGCAACUCACGCAGAUGAAAGCAGCCUUUGAAAAAAAGAUGCAAAGACAGCAUGAACUUAGUGAGAGUUGCAGUCCAAGUGCUCUGCAAGCCAGACUUAAAGUAGCUGCUCAUGAAGCUGAAGAGGAAUCUGACACUAUUGCAGAAGACUUCUUGGAAGGCAAAACAGAAAUAGAUGACUUCCUUAGUAGUUUCAUGGAAAAGAGAAUGCUCUGCCACUGUAGACGAGCCAAAGAGGAAAAACUUCAACAGGCAAUAGCAAUGCACAGCCAAUUUCAUGCUCCGCUAUAGACUUCCUGCAAACUACACCUGCCAAGAGAACGAGUGAAAAACCCAAUAAAGCACACUUUUUAAUAACUAUUAUUUGCAAAUAAGCAUUUCAUCUUAUGUGGUUGUAUUUAUAGAAGAGAUUGUAUACAGAGUUGGGAUGGGUUUUGUACAAAUUAGAAUGUCUCUUUAUAUUCUCAUUGUACUCAAGAAUCCUUCUAUUGCAAUCUUUGCACUAAUUUCUUGUAUUUAUUAUUGAUAGUUCUUAUUAUAUUUAAGUUCCUGCUGCUAUACUCCAUUCUUCAGAGAUUAAAUAUCUAAAC